GCUUUCGGGACGGUGGCGGGAAGAUGGCGGCAUCCAGGGAUUGGCUGGGAACAGUGGAAGCAGAGGGAAGCGCGGGGCGCCAGGCGAGUUCAGGAGUGGAGGUGGUAUUUCCUUCCGAUCCCGCCACCCCCGCCCCGCUGUGUCCUCACGGACCUACUCUUCUGUUUGUAAAGGUGAACCAAGGGAAAGAAGAAACACGGAGAUUUUAUGCCUGCUCAGCCUGUAGAGAUAGAAAAGACUGUAAUUUUUUUCAGUGGGAAGAUGAAAAGUUGUCAGGAGCUAGACUUGCUGCCCGAGAAGCUCAUAACCGAAAAUGUCAGCCUCCUCUGUCCCGAACGCAGUGUGUGGAAAGGUACUUGAAGUUUAUUGAGUUGUCCCUGUCUCAGAGAAAGUUUUGUCAACGAUGUCAGCAAUUGCUGUUGCCAGACGAUUGGGAGAAGCAUCAGGAGCAUCGAGUAGUAGGCGAUAUUUCUAUCACCCAGUUGAAAAGGCCCAGUCAGCUUCUUUAUCCAUUGGAAAACAAGAAGACAAAUGCCCAGUAUUUGUUUGCUGAUCGGAGCUGUCAGUUCUUGAUAGACCUACUUUCUACCCUUGGAUUCACAAGAGCACUAUGUGUUGGAACACCAAGGUUGCAUGAGCUGAUCAGAUUGAAAGCAUCAGGUGAAAAGAAGUCUAACAUUAAAAGCCUUUUAUUGGAUAUUGAUUUUAGGUAUUCACAGUUUUAUAUGGAAGAUAGCUUUUGCCAUUAUAACAUGUUUAACCAUCACUUCUUUGAUGGAAAGGCUGCCCUUGAAGUAUGCAGAACAUUUUUACAGGAAGAUAAAGGUGAGGGAGUCAUUAUGGUGACAGAUCCUCCUUUUGGUGGCUUGGUUGAACCUCUGGCUGUUACAUUCAAGAAGUUAAUUGGUAUGUGGAAAGAAGGUCAAAGCCAAGAUAGCAGUCACAAAGAACUACCCAUAUUCUGGAUUUUCCCUUAUUUUUUUGAAUCCCGAAUUUGUCAGUUUUUUCCAAGCUUCUGCAUGCUGGAUUACCAGGUAGAUUAUGAUAAUCAUGCACUUUAUAAACAUGGGAAGACAGGUCGAAAACAGUCUCCUGUGCGUAUUUUCACCAAUAUUCCACCCAACAAAAUAAUCCUUCCUAGUGAAGAAGGGUACAGAUUUUGCCCUCUGUGUCAACGAUAUGUUUCCCUAGAGAAUCAACACUGUGAGCACUGUAAUUCUUGUACCUCCAAGGAUGGCAGGAAAUGGAACCAUUGCUUUCUCUGCAAAAAGUGUGUAAAACCUUCCUGGAUCCACUGUAGCGUUUGUAGUCACUGUGCUCUUCCAGAUCAUUCUUGCGGGGGCCCUAAAGAUGGCUGCUUUAUUUGUGGUGAAUUAGACCACAAACGCAGUACUUGUCCUAAGAUCGCUACAUCUAAGAAAGUGAACAACACCUUGUUUUUCAGAGCUGUCAGAAAGCAGAAGCAAAGAAAAAGUAGUAAGAUGAAAAUGGGGACCACUAAAGGACAAUCCAUGAAUCAUACAUCUGUUACAAGGAAGAAGAACAGGAGAGAAAGAGCCCAUCAAUAUCUUUGCUCUUAAAUGUCCAGUGACUUGAGAAUAAGAAAGAUUUAUAGUCCAACCUUUGAUGCCAUUUUCUGCAAGUGCCACACUGGACUUAAAUUCUGUCGCUUUCAAAGAUUAGAAGCUCAUUGGUAGCAGGGGCCUGCAGGCACCGUGGUGUGUGUUCUCUAGCUCCUAGAGCUGUGCGUUGCACACAGUGAUGUCCGAGACAACCAACUGCUGCCCACGUGACUUCACCAAUCCCCCCCCACCUCCGCCAUGACCCCGGGAAGCGGGUGGCCAGGUUGACACAUUUCCCCACCCACCAAGUGGUAGCUGCUCGUAAAUCGGGACUGAGUGAAUAGAAAUGCCAUGUCAUAUACUGCUUGAGGUCUCAAAACCUUAACUGUGCCACAUGAGGACGAAGCUAAUAUGCUUAGAGCUGCCUAGGUAAGGAAAGCUUGCACAGACUGCAAAGGAAAAUCCAAUUUCACUUAAUUUGAUGUGAUUUUAAUUGGAACAUUAGGAUAGGGGUCAAAUUAGUCAAGGGUCAGCCAAGAAGGUCAUUGCAAUCAAGUGCAGAUAAGAUCUUGACAGUUGGAUUUCAGGCGAUUUAGUAUAAAUGUUAGCAAGACUGAGGGAAAGAAGCACCCAACAGCAAGCAGAUCUCAUAGCUCUGAGGGAUGAGUUUUAUCCCAUUAGCUGGACAGUCACAAGAUUCUCACACUAUUUAGUUGCUUCGUACUACUGCAGAUGAGAAGUUUAUUAGCUGCUGGUCUCUAAGAAACUGAGCCUGAGGAGAUGGGCCAGUUUCUUCACCUGUGAAUGUAGGGGCCAGGAGUAGGAGAAACCAGAGAAAUCAGACUUAAAUCAAUCUCUUAUGGUUGGACAUCUAAGUUGUUUGUAUUUUUUCACUCUUGUAAACAACCUAUGCUAAACAUUCUUAUGACUAAAUCUUUUGUUUCCUUAGAAUAAAUUUCUAGACAUAUGAA